GGAAGGAUCUCUUUCUGGAGUUCUUUCCUUGAUGGUGCUUUGCCCUGCAAACCUGGAAUCUUCUGAUGGGGUGCUUGAAGCCAGACAGAAUUCAGAUGCCAACAGAAAGCUCCAGACUGCUACAGAAGAAGAAAGGAAGACAAGAAGAAAGAAAAUGAGAUGGGAUUUUCCUUAUCUUCUGCUCGCUGUGGGAACUGCUGAGCUCUUGCUGUAAACUGGAGCAGCACGACACGAGUCGGCCAUCAGCAGCAGGUUCAA